AUUUAUUACUUACACGACAAAAUGAAAUAAUUGUUGCAGUAAUCGUAUUGUUUUCAGUACUGUAAGUGUGUUCCCAUAUUGCCUCCCCUUCUAAAUUCUCACUGUUUAUCAUGUCUGCUGAGAGGACUUCAUUGAUUCUUCCACCAGAGCCCUACAAUUUCUAGCUGCACAAGUGAAUGAAGUGUUCCUUGUUAUGAAUGCUUUGGAUGCUAUGGAUGCUUUGGUCAAAACCAAUAAAGAAAUUGGGUUUAAGAUGGGUUUGUGCUGCUGUUAUUGUCCUAUCAUGUUUUGCAAUGCAAUUUCUGAUGUGCCAAUAUUCAAUAGAGAUAUUAGGUAAGUAAUGUGAAACACUAACCAAAUGUGUCCAACCCCUAACAACUAACCCUCACCUCUACCCAGACUCCAAACAUAACAUCUCCCUUAUUAUUCUAGCUGCCUUUACCCCAACAUUUUAAAAAUAAACACUACCCUAACAUCUGUCUCUUUACCCC